UCGCCUGUUUAACAAAAACAUGUCUUUUUGAUUAUAAUCUAAAGUCUGGCCUGCCCUAUGAAUAAGUUAUUUUAAAUGGCUGCGGUAUUUUGACCGUGCAAAGGUAGCAUAAUAAUUAGUUUUUUGAUUGGGAACUGGUAUGAAAGGUCGCACGAGAAAAAGACUGUCUCAAUUUAAUUUGAAUUAGAAUUUUAUUUUUAAGUAAAAAAGCUUAAAUAAUUUUAAAAGACGAGAAGACCCUAUAGAGUUUUAUAUAAUUUAAUAUUUUUGAAAGUUAAAGAAUUUUAGAUUUAAUUAUAUUAAAUUAUAUUUGGUUGGGGCAAUUAAAAAAUUAAAUUAAUUUUUUUUAAAUAAAAACAUUGAUGUAUGAUUAAGUGAUCCAUUAUUAAUGAUUAAAAGAUUAAAUUACCUUAGGGAUAACAGCGUAAUUUUUUUUAGAGUUCUUAUCGAAAAAAAAGUUUGCGACCUCGAUGUUGGAUUAAAA
rnacentral:rRNA from 1 species